rnacentral:rRNA from 1 species
GACGAACGCUGGCGGCGUGCUUAACACAUGCGAGUCGACGGAAAGGCCCCGCUUUUGUGGGGUGCUCGAGUGGCGAACGGGGGAGUAACACGUUAGUUACCCUCCCUUGACCUUUGGAUUACCUCAGGAAACCGGGGCCAAUACCGGAUAGGAGCCUCCGCCUCCAGGUGGGGGGUGGAAAGGUUUCGGCGGUUGGGGAUGGACUCGCGGCUUAUCAGCUUGUUGGUGGGGUAGUGGCUUACCAAGGCUUUGACGGGUAGCCGGCCUGAGAGGGUGACCGGCCACAUUGGGACUGAGAUACGGCCCAGACUCCUACGGGAGGCAGCAGUGGGGAAUAUUGCACAAUGGGCGGAAGCCUGAUGCAGCAACGCCGCGUGCGGGAUGACGGCCUUCGGGUUGUAAACCGCUUUCGCCUGUGACGAAGCGUGAGUGACGGUAAUGGGUAAAGAAGCACCGGCUAACUACGUG